CUACGGGGUGCACCAGUGGGGAAUAUUGGACAAUGGGGGAAACCCUGAUCCAGCAAUGCCGCGUGUGUGAAGAAGGCCUGCGGGUUGUAAAGCACUUUCGGUUGGGAGGACUGCUUCUAGCACUAAUAUUGUUGGAAGUUGACGUUACCUUCAGAAGAAGCACCGGCUAACUCCGUGCCAGACAGGCGCGCGGUAAUACGGAGGGUGCAAGCGUUAAUCGGAAUUACUGGGCGUAAAGCGCGCGUAGGCGGCUAGAUCAGUUGGGUGUGAAAGCCCCGGGCUUAACCUGGGAACUGCAUCCGAUACUGUCUAGCUUGAGUACAGGAGAGGAGAGUGGAAUUCCACAUGUAGCGGUGAAAUGCGUAGAUAUGUGGAGGAACACCAAUGGCGAAGGCAGCUCUCUGGCCUGAUACUGACGCUGAGGUGCGAAAGCGUGGGGAGCAAACAGGAUUAGAUACCCCGGUAGUC
rnacentral:rRNA from 1 species